rnacentral:rRNA from 1 species
GACGAAGGUGGCAAGCGUUAUUCGGAUUUACUGGGCAUAAAGCGCGCGUAGGCGGCUUGGCAAGUCGGGGGUGAAAGCCCGCAGCUCAACUGCGGAACUGCCUUCGAUACUGCCGGGCUUGAGGGCGGGAGGGGUGAUUGGAACUCCAGGUGUAGCGGUGAAAUGCGUAGAUAUCUGGAGGAGCACCGGAGGCGAAGGCGAAUCACUGGACCGCUUCUGACGCUGAGGCGCGAAAGCUAGGGGAGCAAACAGG